CCUAGCGGCGGACGGGUGAGUAAUGCUUAGGAAUCUGCCUAUUAGUGGGGGACAACAUCUCGAAAGGGAUGCUAAUACCGCAUACGUCCUACGGGAGAAAGCAGGGGACCUUCGGGCCUUGCGCUAAUAGAUGAGCCUAAGUCGGAUUAGCUAGUUGGUGGGGUAAAGGCCUACCAAGGCGACGAUCUGUAGCGGGUCUGAGAGGAUGAUCCGCCACACUGGGACUGAGACACGGCCCAGACUCCUACGGGAGGCAGCAGUGGGGAAUAUUGGACAAUGGGGGGAACCCUGAUCCAGCCAUGCCGCGUGUGUGAAGAAGGCCUUUUGGUUGUAAAGCACUUUAAGCGAGGAGGAGGCUACCGAGAUUAAUACUCUUGGAUAGUGGACGUUACUCGCAGAAUAAGCACCGGCUAACUCUGUGCCAGCAGCCGCGGUAAUACAGAGGGUGCAAGCGUUAAUCGGAUUUACUGGGCGUAAAGCGCGCGUAGGUGGCCAAUUAAGUCAAAUGUGAAAUCCCCGAGCUUAACUUGGGAAUUGCAUUCGAUACUGGUUGGCUAGAGUAUGGGAGAGGAUGGUAGAAUUCCAGGUGUAGCGGUGAAAUGCGUAGAGAUCUGGAGGAAUACCGAUGGCGAAGGCAGCCAUCUGGCCUAAUACUGACACUGAGGUGCGAAAGCAUGGGGAGCAAACAGGAUUAGAUACCCUGGUAGUCCAUGCCGUAAACGAUGUCUACUAGCCGUUGGGGCCUUUGA
rnacentral:rRNA from 1 species